UCGCAAUGAUGAAGAUAUCUGUGUCUAGACGAUGAUCUCUUCGGAGAGUAAUCGGUGAUGGCAACACAACCCUCUAAGAAGCACUGAGCGA